GCAGUUAAACUUCACCAACCCGAA
rnacentral:siRNA from 1 species